rnacentral:lncRNA from 1 species
GACUUUCAUAUAGAGACCAGUGUUGAUAAAGUGCCAGGCGCAGAUCGUAUUCAAAUGCUAUUCGCAUGCAAUCAAUUGACAGGGAAUUUUCUUCAUCUUCAUUGCGGUGGUUAUGGCGAGACACGUGGCGCUGCAGAAUUCCAAUAUCAGUCACAUACUUAAUGUGAGUAAUUUUAUCUUGGACCCACUGAUCUGUUAGGCCAACAAUAGCCCACCACAACAUGUCAUUCAAAUCUUUAGACAUUAUCCACGCCAGAUCAAACAUCACCAUCGCAGACGAGGUCCCAUGGUACUCGUAUUGCUCGUAAUCAAAAAGAAUUUCACGUCUGCGUGCCUCCCAUUCUCG